rnacentral:rRNA from 1 species
GACGAACGCUGGCGGCGUGCUUAACACAUGCAAGUCGAACGGAAAGGCCCUGCUUUUGUGGGGUUCUCGAUUGCCGAACGGGUGAGUGACACGUGAGUAACCUGCCCUUGACUGUGGGAUAACUUCAGGAAACUGGGGCUAAUACCGGAGAGGAUCUCCUGCUGCGUGUGGUUGAUUGGAAAGUUUCGGCUGUUGUGGAUGGACUCGCUGCUUAUCAGCUUGUUGGUGGGGUAGGUGCGUACCAAGGGUUUGACGGGUAGCCUGCCUGAGAGGGUGACCGGCCACCUUGGGACUGCGAUACGGACCAGAAUGCUACGGGAGGCAGCAGUGGGGAAUCUUGCACAAUGGGCGGACGCCUGAUGUAGAAACGCCGCGUGCGGGAUGCCGGCCUUCGGGUUGUAAACCGCUUUCGCAUGUGACGAAGCGUGAGUGACGGUAAUGGGUAAAGAAGCACCGGCUAACUACGUG